GACAGGCACAGGCAGAGCGAGGGAGCGUCUGCAAAGUGCGCGCCCGGCGCGGGGGCGAGGGGAAAACCUCCCGGGCACGGGGAUGGGCACCGGGAACGGGGAUGAGCAGGGGCACCGUCACCCGUGCGCAGCCGCCGCGGUGAGUCCGCGGAGGCGGCUCCCGGCCUCCUCUGCCUCCUCCUGGCUCGUCCUCCUCCGCAAAUUCAUGAGGUCAGGCGCGGCUCCCGACUCUGGCAGCGAUGCGGUUUUGUCCGCGGUAAGCGGACGCAUUGCAUCAGCCAGCGUUUUACUGAGCGUUAGACACAGCUCCAGACUCCAUGCAUGUACUGAUCCCAUCAUCCUUGGGUGCAGAGAGGAAUGAUUACAGAAGCGAUUAAAGAAGAUGGCUGAUGUGUGAGAACACUCAAACAUAGCAUAAGGCUAGGACUGAGCCCCUUAGCUAUAUCUGUUAAUAGAGAACUUUUGGGUUAUUGUGAGGUGUAUCUUAUUCAUAAGGAAAACAAUCAUAUUCUGGUAGAGACAUUCAAUAUAUCAGCUACUGAUACUGUUUUCCUGCUUAAUUUUAUGUCCAAAGGUGGUGGACAAAGCCCUGCCCUGAGUGGAUAACAAAAACUCCCUUGAUUUUGUGCCAGUUGCAGCUUUGGAGUGGUAAAGAACUCAAACAGAUGAGGCGAAGAAGUCACAGCUAUAGUAACUUCAGCUUGCUUACUGUGCACUCAACAUAAAGGACAGAAGUGAUCCUUAGAAGACACUGAACAUAUUUUGGACUUUCCAUAUUGAGAGACCAAUUCUUUGGCACAUCUCUAUACUGAAUUUUGGAGAAUUCUGAUUGUGGACCAGCAGUGGAGGAUAACCUAAACAUAAGUGCACAGAAGUCACCAGUGCUAACUCCAGAUUUGCUUAAUGUCACCUUUAAAGUAGCAUACUUGUUGAAUUUUCCAUUCCUUUUUGUUCAAAGAAUGAACUACUGUAACAUGGAGAAACGUGUCUAUAGCAUAAAAGAAUUCUGUAAUUAUUGACAGGCAAUACCUACACAAGCCUUUCCCUAGUGAAGUAUGUGAAAACUGUGUUCCCCUUUUGACUUGUAAGACUGUAUAAUAAAAUUACAGCACGUGUAUAAAAUAUAGUUUGCCUUUCCUGGUAGAAAAAUCUGUUAUUACAAAAUAUACAUUAUUAGAGAAUAUAGAUAGAGAAAAUACUUUUAAUAUAGAAAUGUCUUUCUUGUGAGGUGGAGUACAUCUAACAUACCUGCCUUUGUUGUGGUUCAUAUCCCCAUCUUGUCUCAGGUAGACAGACAGAGUGUUACAUCAUGUUAUACUUGUAUUGCUACAGCACCUGGGAUAGGAACUAGAGACCAUUUGCAUUAUAAUCUUCAUCUCUUUUAAAGCCCCCUUGCCUGGUUUCUGGAAGGUCUCCCUCCCUCUAUUCAGAGUUUUCUUUCCUUCUUUUAUAACCCCUCCAUAUGCUCCUCUGAAUAAAGGAUUAUUAGCUUUGCAGAUACUAAGUGGACUCUUUGGUGGCAGGCGGAAUAUUUUAUUAUUAAUAUUGAACAUGACUUCAAUAAAACAAAAAAGGAGAAGAGGAAAAAGAAGAAGGUAAAACUAAAAUUUGAACCAGAGAUAAGAUAAAAAAGACCUUCCUGAAAAGUAUCUUUGCCUGUUCAUAGCCAAACACAAUAAGCAUGUCUUGAGGCUUCCAAGAUAUGCUUUUAAAGCUUUCUGUUUGAUGUCUCCCUCAGCUUUAUUGAUACAAUUGAAUUUACUGCAAAAUGAUAACUGACUCAACAGUCAGCAUAGUCUCCUCUGUGCUAGAGAUCAGAAAACUCAUGUGUUCUUGUUCAAGAACGCGCCUUGCUUUUUUGUUUGAACACUCUGAUUUCUAAGGACCUCAUCUAUAUUUUUUGAAAUACAGUACAAUAUACUUCUGAAGAGCUGCCAUAUUCAACCCUAGUAAUAUUCCAAUCACAAAGUGAUAUUUUGAAAAGUCACCCUCUCUCUUUUGCUUCUUAAUCACAUUUCAAAAGUGCUGUAGAAUAACCUUGGUUAAACUCUGAUUAAAUAUCAAAAUAUUAGGAAAUAGAAAAUGUUCCUGUCCUUUCCCCAUAUUCAGGCACACACAUCCCCUUCCCCCACCCCCGGUUUUAACAUGAGUAAGACUUUGCAGUUAGGCUUUAACUGCAUCCUUUUUGCCAAGGUUUUAUGGAUAUUGAAAAGUCAGAGUUUUAAAAGGUAUCAUUAUCUCUGCCCAGUACAGAAAAAACUCCCAAAAGCCCCCAACAACAACAACAAAAAAAUGCAAACAAAAAACCCCUACCCAAAACAAAAUCAAACAAAACCCCCAAUUCCACUGUGGUUGUGGCCAGUGUAAUGUAGUGCUAAAUUUGAAAUACAGAGUAUCUGGUUAGAUCGCUGCUACAUUAUUGCAAGUGUAACAAAGGACUCCAGGUCAAUGCCAAAAUGAGAUUAUGAAGUUAAUUAUUUUUCAGCCUUACCUUAGUUAAAUGUAUCUGGUUUUCUGUUGUUACUGGAUACCCAAAGCAAACACUAGGAUCCAAAUAAUCCUUAUUUUUGAAUCUGGUUUUACAGUUUUAACUGGUAUAUCAGUUGUGAUUUCAGCAUCAGGCCAACUGCUUUAGGUAACAACACAUCUAGGAAAUACAUUAUCUCCUAUAAAUCUCCAGAACUUUUGACAGACUUCCCAAUCUGGAUAUUACUGUUGUACAUUCCUGUAACUUUCUUAAGUAAUCCUUGAUUGGUUUUUUUUUUCUUUAAAAUAUUUUAUUAACUUGUUAAUUUGAAACUCAGAAGUAUGUACACACUCAGAACUGUAUCUUAUCUUUACUCUCCAUUAGCAAUAAAUGCAUUAUCAAACAAGGGUGAAGAAAACACAUCAUGUAGGCAACCACUGAAAUUGGCAUCUUUUCUCUGUCAAGUAGCCAGGUGACAUUUCACUUAUGGAAACUGUUAAACCAGAGCAUUAACAACAGAUUCAGUUUAUUUUCUAUCUACUUAAAAGAGAACUGUUGUCACUAUUUUGGCAAUUAAUGUUUAAAAGUGGGAGGCACUUGAUUUAUAAAAGACAUUAAACUGAAGUCUGCUUUAUAAAGCUAGAAGGGACUGAUUAUAAAACUUCACAAAAAAGCAAACGAUUUUUAGCAAUUUAUGAACUGUGACAAGAGUGUCUUGCUUCAAUGGGCGGUAGAUGAAGCUGCUGUUAUUAGAAACAAACCCACAGUGUGAGAUAUAGAUCAUCAGUUUUGAACACUCUUUUCUCCUCAGUCCCUCAAAUGAAGGAAAUCUUAUGUAGGGUACUGAUUCACCGCAGUGUAUCCCAUGCCUGAAAUCCUGGAAUAUCUUCCAGCACCAGGAAAUUAUUUACAGUAAUUCUUGACUGUUAUUUACAAGAUUGGCAAUAAAAAUGGGAGUUCUUGACUGUGGAAUUACCACAUAUGAGUGCUUACUUUUAGGCUUUUGGCUGGUUAAGCAGAUCUAGUAGGUCCCCUUUCAUCUAAUUUAAAAAUUGAAAAGGUUGAGAGUCCUGUGGUCAAUGAAAUACAUGUGGUCAUGUGUAUUUAUAUUUUCUUAGUGUUAUUAAUAAAGAAAAAAAUCAGGCUGGCUAAGGUCUGAACAAUACUGAGCACAUGUUUGCAUUGUUAGGUGGUGAAUGAAAGUUUUGGUGGAAUUUUAAUUGCUAAGUGAUAAAUGUAAUUUGUAGGUUGCUCUAAAUGAUGUCUCCUUGAUAGGGAUUUAAAGUAUCAUCUGGAAAACUAAUCUGACUUUGGUGAGAAUCUUUUAGGUGCUUUCAGUUGUCUGGAACUGCUGGUGUUUUUCAAUCUGUGGUCCCACAAAGUUUGUACAACAAAGACUAUACGUGCAAACUUCCAAGCACUGUGAAAGUCACAGAGGAAUGCUUAUCCAUCUGGAACUUCAGUGAUCUCUAAGUCUUUUCAUGGUGUUACUGAACACUUCUGGAAAUAGAGUAUCUGUGAAUAGGAUUCCUAUUGCAAGAAAGAGGAAAGCACCUUUAAUUUUAUGUUUUUAUGGGUUUGGUGAUUGACUAUGCAAAAUUUAGCCCAAAGUCAAUAUUCACCUAACAUAUUUAGAAAUUUCAAAAUACAAUGGAAUUAUUAAUUUGACUCUUAAAAGAAUUUAUUAAAUUAAAUGUCUCCAUUACUUACUAGAAGGAUAAUCACGUAUUCUCUGUCCUACCAUUGACUUCAUUCUCCUCACAAAUCUUGUUAUUUUAAUAUAUUUAGUUGUUCAUUUAAUGUAUUAUUUAAUAAAACCAGUCAUCAGUGGAAUAUUUUACAGUGAAGCUUAAGGAAAUCACUUUCUAACAUGCCAAGAUCCCAGAUCGAUUCAAGGCUUUGUAAAUGUGACAAAAAUCAACUUGAACUGCAGUCAGAAAGGAACUGGGAUCAAAUGUGGAAUAUAAUGCAUUGAACUUGCAGCAGUUUGUCCAGUUUAAUCAAUGUUAUCUCUAUGUGAAAAGUCUGCUAGAAAAUGUGUAGAUACUUUUUCUUCUGGAAUUCAGAUCUUCUGUGGAUUGUCCAAACACUGUAACAAGCCUAUAUCUUUUUUUCCCUUA